AUUGAACGCUGGCGGAAUGCUUUACACAUGCAAGUCGAGCGGCAGCGCGGGGCAACCUGGCGGCGAGCGGCGAACGGGUGAGUAAUACAUCGGAACGUGCCCUGGAGUGGGGGAUAACGUAGCGAAAGUUACGCUAAUACCGCAUAUUCUGUGAGCAGGAAAGCAGGGGAUCGCAAGACCUUGCGCUCUGGGAGCGGCCGAUGUCGGAUUAGCUAGUUGGUGGGGUAAAGGCCUACCAAGGCGACGAUCCGUAGCGGGUCUGAGAGGAUGAUCCGCCACACUGGGACUGAGACACGGCCCAGACUCCUACGGGAGGCAGCAGUGGGGAAUAUUGGACAAUGGGCGCAAGCCUGAUCCAGCCAUGCCGCGUGUGUGAAGAAGGCCUGGUGUAAG
rnacentral:rRNA from 1 species